AGCGAACGCUGGCGGCAGGCUUAACACAUGCAAGUCGAGCGGGCACCUUCGGGUGUCAGCGGCAGACGGGUGAGUAACACGUGGGAACGUACCCUUCGGUUCGGAAUAACGCUGGGAAACUAGCGCUAAUACCGGAUACGCCCUCAUGGGGAAAGGUUCACUGCCGAAGGAUCGGCGCGCGUCUGAUUAGCUAGGUGGUGGGGUAACGGCCUACCAAGGCGACGAUCAGUAGCUGGUCUGAGAGGAUGAUCAGCCACACUGGGACUGAGACACGGCCCAGACUCCUACGGGAGGCAGCAGUGGGGAAUAUUGGACAAGGGGCGCAAGCCUGAUACAGCCAUGCCGCGUGAGUGAUGAAGGCCUUAGGGUUGUAAAGCUCUUUUGUCCGGGACGAUAAUGACGGUACCGGAAGAAUAAGCCCCGGCUAACUUCGUG
rnacentral:rRNA from 1 species